GGGGUUGUAGCUCAGUGGUAGAGCACUUGCCUAGCAUGUGUGAGGCACUGGGUUCAAGUCUCAGCACCA
rfam:Ictidomys tridecemlineatus contig055325, whole genome shotgun sequence.